rnacentral:rRNA from 1 species
UACGUAAGUCCCGAGCGUUGUCCGGAUUUAUUGGGCGUAAAGCGAGCGCAGGUGGUUUAUUAAGUCUGGUGUAAAAGGCAGUGGCUCAACCAUUGUAUGCAUUGGAAACUGGUAGACUUGAGUGCAGGAGAGGAGAGUGGAAUUCCAUGUGUAGCGGUGAAAUGCGUAGAUAUAUGGAGGAACACCGGUGGCGAAGGCGACUUUCUGGUCUGUAACUGACGCUGAUGUGCGAAAGCGUGGGGAUCAAACAGG